rnacentral:tRNA from 1 species
AUUUUCUUAAUAUAAUUAAGUAUAUCUGACUUCCAAUCAGAAGGUCUAUAAAUUUUUAGAGAAAAUA